rnacentral:rRNA from 1 species
GAAAAGAACCCCGGGAGGGGAGUGAAAUAGAACCUGAAACCCUGCGCUUACAAGCUGUGGAAGCACUUUAUAUGUGUGACCGCGUACUUUUUGUAGAACGGGCCAACGAGUUACGAUAGUAAGCUAGGUUAAGUACUUAAGGUAUGGAGCCGUAGUGAAAGCGAGUCUUAAAUGGGCGUUAAGUUUGCUGUCGUAGACCCGAAACCGAGCGACCUAUCCAUGAGCAGGAUGAAGCGAAAGUAAAAUUUCGUGGAGGUCCGAACCCACGAGCGUUGAAAAGCUCGGGGAUGACUUGUGGAUAGCGGUGAAAUUCCAAUCGAGCUCGGAGAUAGCUGGUUCUCCCCGAAAUAGCUUUAGGGCUAGCCUCAAGGUUGAGAAAUACGGAGGUAGAGCACUGAAUAUCCUAGGGGGCAUUGCGCUUACCGAAGAUUAUCAAACUCCGAAUGCCGUUAUUUUAUACUUGGGAGUCAGACUGUGGGUAAUAAGAUUCAUAGUCGAGAGGGCAACAGCCCAGAUCGUCAGCUAAGGUCCCUAAAUGUAAGUUAAGUGGUAAAGGAUGUGGGAUUGCAUAGACAACCAGGAUGUUGGCUUAGAAGCAGCCACUCAUUUAAAGAGUGCGUAAUAGCUCACUGGUCGAGUGAUCCUGCGCCGAAGAUUACCGGGGCUAAAACUUACUACCGAAGCUACGAUAUCAUUUAUGAUAGGUAGGGGAGCUUCCUAUGCAGGCUGAAGCAUGACCGUAAGGACGUGUGGACAGUAUAGGAGUGAGAAUGUUGGCAUGAGUAGCGAGACGUGGGUGAGAAUCCCACGGGCCGUAAACCCAAGGUUUCCAGGGGAAGGUUCGUCCGCCCUGGGUUAGUCGGGACCUAAGCCGAGGCCGAAAGGCGUAGGUGAUGGACAACAGGUUGAGAUUCCUGUACCACCGAUAAUCGUUUGAGAGAUGGAAUGACACAGUAGGAUAAGCUAACCACACUGUUGGUUAUGUGUGGCUAAGUACUGAGGCAGUCAAGGCAGGCAAAUCCGCCAUGAUAAUGCUGGGGUACGAUGGGGAGCGAAAUUAAGUAGCGAAGUAGCUGAUUUCACACUGUCGAGAAAAGUUUCUAUCGAGAUUAAAGGUGCCCGUACCGCAAACCGACACAGGUGGGUGAGGAGAGUAUCCUAAGGCCAGCGAGAGAACUGUUGUUAAGGAACUCGGCAAAAUGACCCCGUAACUUAGGGAGAAGGGGUGCCACGUUAGGGUUAACGCCCGAGGUGGCCGCAGAGAAUAGGCCCAAGCGACUGUUUACCAAAAACACAGGUUUCUGCUAAGUCGCAAGACGAUGUAUAGGAGCUGACGCCUGCCCGGUGCUGGAAGGUUAAGGGGAUCUGUUAGGAUUUAUCCGAAGCAGUGAACUUAAGCCCCAGUAAACGGCGGCCGUAACUAUAACGGUCCUAAGGUAGCGAAAUUCCUUGUCGGGUAAGUUCCGACCCGCACGAAAGGCGUAACGAUUUGGGCACUGUCUCAACAACAGACUCGGUGAAAUUGUAAUCCCGGUGAAGAUGCCGGGUACCUGCGACAGGACGGAAAGACCCCAUGGAGCUUUACUGUAGCUUGACAUUGAAUUUUGGUGCUACAUGUACAGGAUAGGUGGGAGGCUAUGAAAUC